GCUGCAAGUUUCCCCUCGUGGAGGUGGGGUUUCUAUAGCGCUGGGAGAGCUCUCUCCAAGCGCUGCGCCGCGACAACACAAGCCACGUUAAAGCACGGGCAGCGUGUGAACGUUGCUAGUGAAGACGUGCCCUUAUAGACUCUACCCGAUGAAGCAGCAAAUCCGUACACAUUUCUGUAUUGCAGCACAGCAGGUACAUGAGCCUUCUACCAAAACCAGGGAGAGAGACAGACACAGCCCCGGUGUGACGGAAACAGCCAGAGACGGGUGCAGCUGUUCCACUUUGCAGAAUUAGCCACCGACUUCACCCCAGAGACUCUUUACUCAAUGGAGCAGUUGGGACCUGUCUGCAAUGUGAGGUUUGCGCUGGAGCAGGAAACAGGUGCACGGGCAGCAUGCAGACCUGCGCCGCUGGGCAAGACUCUUGUGGCAUCUUGCUUACUGACAGCAUACAGGCUCCCCCAAAAUGUCUAGGGGACAGAAAUCCUCUAUAGAUGGAAAACUCCCACCCGUGGGCACACACAAGAAAUUGUACUCACCGGUGUU